CUCAAUAAGCCCAAGCCCAACCAAAAUGUCAUCAGCCUCUCUUUGACAUAUUAGCCUCUCUUUGACAAGAGCGAUUCUCUCUGUCUCUACCAUUAUUGAUUGAUCGUACAAUGGGAGAUCCGCGGCUGCUCCGUUGAUCUGUGAACUUGCUACGGCGAUUCGCUCCGUCGAUCCGUGGACUUUCUCUGGAAACUUGCUCAAUCAACUUGCUUUGGUCAUUUUGUUCUUCCAUUAGAUUUCCUCUGUCAAUUGCUCAAUCAAUUUCACAUUUGCUCUCUUAUAGUCUCUUUUUCUAAUAUUGUGAAUAUUAAAUCUGUAUACCUCUCUCUUAUUAUCUCCAUCACUUUCGAUUUUGUUUGGAUGUAAGUCUUUUAGUGUAUAAAUAGAUAAAUGUUAGGGUUUAUAUUAUGAAUUUCUUCAAAUUAAUGUUUUAGGAUUUUCUUAUUGGUAUUUAAGGACUAGCUUUUGCUUUGAAAUAGUUCUGUAUGUUCAAAUGUGAAGCUGGAAUUGAUAUAUCUUCAUAUGUAUUAUAUAUAUACUUAGUCUUGUACUUAGUAGUCCGUAGUGAGCUUUGGUGUGAUCCUCUUUUUAUCUUUCAAAAUUUUAUAUGAAGUUUUUCACAUUGUUGGAUGCACGCACAAAAAUGGUUUCUUAUUUGUACUGUUGUAACAUCAUAGUGUACUUAGCAUAAAGGCCCCCGCUGAAGUUAUUUACUGCAACCUGUUUGUUCUCAUUUUUCUUGUAUAAUGUUUUGUUCGGUGUGUCAAUUCUUGUUAUUUGUUUGUACCGCAGGUGUGGUUAAAUAUGAGAAAUGAAUGUUUGUUCUUCUAGUUAUAUUAGUUCAUGUGUGUUUUAUCUGCUUACAACUAGUUAAAUAUAUACAUAUAUAUUUGGAUUCAUAUGCUCUUUAUUAAUUUUCUUUUAUUUUCAGACUUUCUAUGGCCACUGCUGAGGUAGGCAGCAUGAAAAUGGGCAUCACAACUCAGCUGUUCAUUUGUUUUCUUUUGCAGAGGAAGAUUAAGUCCUGACAUAUAAGUCUCAUGACUCUUAAAUUUGUUUUGUAUAGUUUUGAACAUAUUUUCUCUAGUAUUUUUUCUUAUUGAUGCCUACUCAAUUCAAAAAUGAAUUCUGAAUGAUUUUUUCUACUGCUGUCCUUAUUUAUUUAUUUAUUUUCAGAGUCCAUUGUUAUUCAUAAUUAAUAUGGUGUUCUUUCAUUUGAUCGAAGUCAUAUCUUUAUUCUAUUCAAAGUUUUCUAUUUUUAUUUAGUUUGCUCUUGUAUUCUAUUUACUUGUUCACAAUCAAUGAAAUGAUUACAUCACAUUUCCAUAUGUAAAAGUUGACUGGCUCACUGAUUAGCUUUCAAAAUUCUUACUUAUUCUGUUAUAUUUGUUUAAUAUAUUUAUGUUCUGAUUAUAUCAUUGUAUUGCUUUGUUAUGGUAUUAUUGUCAAAUCUGAAUUAAAGCCUUGUUUUGUUUGUGUUCAAUAUGAUCAGGUACUGAUUUUGAUUGGCUUGGAGUUGUUUGAUACAAAGAUUGGGAGCACUUUGUUAUCUCUCAGGGAUGGAAGUAUUUCACAGUGGUUGAGGUGAAUUGAUACCAGAAACACUGCUAUUAAUCUUUACAAAUUUACCAGAUAAACUUCACUUAGUACCACUCAUUUGCAAGUCAUGGAGCAAAGUUAUUUUUGGGCCUGAUUGUUGGCAUGACUUACUAGACAUUAAUGAUUCUCAUAAUGCUUACCUGUUUACACAAGACUUUGAAGAACUAAGAAUCUCUGAUGUUUUUUAGUCAAUGCAUUUUGCACUAUUAUAAAGCUUACCUUUUAAUACUUUGCUCUAAAGAUAUAUUGACAUUCUUAAGGCCGACUGAGUUGGUGUUUGAGACUUAUUGUAGUAUUUUUUAAUAGUGAAUGUUUUGAGUUUAUUGGAUA